UACACUAAAAGAACAGGAAAAAAAAAAAACAAAAACCACACAAACACAACACAUUAUCUCUCUAAUAUACACAUAUUCCUGAAAGUUUGUUUCCUAUAGCACCCUUCAAAUCGGUAUCCAAACAAUCUUCUAUAGUCUCCUUCACUGAAGGUAGAACCUCAAUUUACCUAACUCUAGACAUCCCUCCUAGGGAUGAAAAUUCAAUGCACUACCACUAUGCAUGCGCAGCCAGAGGAAAAA